ACAGUUCUUCGGGGUCAGUGAAAAUCUGAACCGGCGGUUAUAGUCCGCGACCCGACUGGGAACAUCGCAACCAGCGAUGAGACUCCAGGCGGUUGACUUGGUGGAAAUCCAAGACCGACGGUUAAAGUCCGGAUGAGAGAAGAACUAG
rnacentral:ncRNA from 2 species